UACGUAGGGGGCAAGCGUUGUCCGGAUUCAUUGGGCGUAAAGAGCGUGUAGGCGGCCAGGUAGGUCGGUUGUGAAAACUGGAGGCUCAACCUUCAGACGUCGACCGAAACCAUCUGGCUAGAGUCCGGAGAGGAGAGUGGAAUUCCUGGUGUAGCGGUGAAAUGCGCAGAUAUCAGGAAGAACACCCGUGGCGAAGGCGGCUCUCUGGGACGGUACUGACGCUGAGACGCGAAAGCGUGGGGAGCAAACAGG
rnacentral:rRNA from 1 species